rnacentral:rRNA from 1 species
UACGGAGGGUGCAAGCGUUACUCGGAAUUACUGGGCGUAAAGCGUGCGUAGGUGGUUCGUUAAGUCUGAUGUGAAAGCCCUGGGCUCAACCUGGGAAUGGCAUUGGAAACUGGCGACCUAGAGUGCGGUAGAGGGUAGUGGAAUUCCCGGUGUAGCAGUGAAAUGCGUAGAGAUCGGGAGGAACAUCUGUGGCGAAGGCGGCUGCCUGGACCAGCACUGACACUGAGGCACGAAAGCGUGGGGAGCAAACAGG